UACAGAGGGGGCUAGCGUUAUUCGGAAUUAUUGGGCGUAAAGGGCGCGUAGGCGGCCAUGCGUGUCUUCCGUGAAAUCCCUCGGCUUAACUGAGGACGUGCGGAAGAAACUGCAAGGCUCGAGUCCGGGAGAGGGGGGUGGAAUUCCCAGUGUAGCGGUGAAAUGCGUAGAUAUUGGGAGGAACACCGGUGGCGAAGGCGGAUCUCUGGGCCAUUACUGACGCUGAGGAGCGAAAGCGUGGGGAGCGAACAGG
rnacentral:rRNA from 1 species